GUGAUCUAAGAUCAUGUUAUCAUUUGUCUCACCAAACUCCUCCUUACUGUCCCAAAUUUGGGCAGCAUUGCUCUAACUUGAAAUUGGCUUCCCAGCCCCGGUCUUUAAUACCUCGAAGCAUUCCAUUCGAGGGGAGUUUGAGAACGGGAGAAAAACCCUAGUGGUCGAAGGAUUGGCUCCAGAACUCUUAUUUUUCUUCUUGUCGAUCGUGGCUUUGAUAGGGUUGACACUUUUGAGUAGCCGCCAAUGGCUUCCAAGAGGAUUCUAAAGGAGUUGAAGGACUUGCAGAAGGAUCCUCCCACAUCUUGCAGCGCUGCUGGCUCAUUUGGUUUGGUGGCCCCCAGCAACAACAUGAGUAUACGAUUGACUGAAUCUUUUGAGAUGCAUACUACAAUUUUGUUAGGUAAGCCUAGGAUUUGACUUUAAGAAUCCCAAGAUUAUUUGCAUGUUUGAUGUGGAUCUAUGUGCCAUAUGCAUAUUACUCCAUUCAAAUGUCAGGAAAAAGCGUUCACUGGGAUGAAACAAUGUGGUUUUCUUGUGCUUAUGAUGCAUUUUGGGUCAGGGAUAAGUGUUAUCUUAAAGCAGGAGCAUUGAUCUGGGUGCCAAAAUGUCCAAACAUGGUUGUUAUUUGUUGUCUUUUCUCUCUUUCUUGUU